GCAGGUAUCCACUCACUACCCUAGUGAGUAUACCAUAUCUAGUCUCAAUAUGGUGUACAUGAUAAAAUAAAUUCUACUCAUAAACACUCUAUGUAUGUUGGACUGAAAAAACCCAAGCAGCCUCUUAGAUCUAUCUCUAUAGAUCUUCAUCCCUAGGAUGAGAGAUGCUUUUCCUAAGUCUUUUAUGGAGAACAAUAAUAACAGUGAAAUCUUU
rnacentral:lncRNA from 1 species